AGAAAAAGCUAAUUUUGCGGAGGUUUAAUUAAGGGGGUUGCAAUAACCUCCGUAAAAAUAUAUUAAUUGUGGGGGUUAUCUCAACCCCUUUUAUUUCUUCAGUACAUUGAGGGUUAUAACCCCUAGAUAUUUAUUCCUUAAGAUAAUGCUUAAAGUUCAAUCUUGUUUCCUUUUAGCUCUAGUUUCAUUUUUUCCCCAAAAAAUCGCAGAACCGUUUUAGACUCAGGAGAAAAAUCUAGUCUUUUCUCAUCCUCUCACCGGUCGCUCACUCUUCUCUCGCUCUCAAAUUUCUUUCAAUUUCAAAUUUAUUCAACAUGUAUUAGUUCUUACCAGAAAAUUGUUGGUUGAUUGCUGAGUUUUGCAACUUUUGUUUAGUAGAUAAGAAUAAUCAAUGGUUGAAGAAGCUGAUUUUUUUCAAGUUUGGUUAUAAGCAAAAAUUGCUAAUUUUGAUUUUUUUGGUGCUGUUAAUCGCUGAAUCUAAGUUACAAGCUUUCAUUUGGGAUAAUGCAGCUUCAAUGGCAAGUGGAGUAUACCAUUUCUACAAGCUCUACUGUUAGCUUACUGCUGCAAUUUAGCUUGUAACUGAGUUUGAGUACGAGAAUCUGAUAGCGUCAAGACUAGACUUCACUUCCUGUUACCACUUACCACCAGGUGAUACCAUGAUGAAACCCGCUAAAGUUUCAUGAUAACGUUGCAGAUCCUAUCUUGAGUUUGGAUGCUAGUGAUUUGAAGUUUAAGCAAGUUUUUGUAGUGAUUUGAAGUUUAAGCAAGAUUUGAAGUUUCUUGUAAAUCGUAGUGGUUGAAGUGAAUGACAUUUCAAUUUACUUUGUAAAAUUAUAAUACACUUUAUGAUAUAUUUUUGUAUUGAAAUAUUGUGUUAUUUUUAAUACUAAUAUGUCCUUUUAGGUUUGAUUA